rnacentral:misc_RNA from 1 species
GGCUCUUCAUGAUCGAUUUCUGGUGGCGAAGGUACUCAGAAGGGGUACAGGAGUCGGAUUCGCAAGUGGGGCGAGUCUCGUAUUUCCAAUAGAUGUCCAUGAGUAAGAAGAGGCAAAAGGGGACGACGGAGAGGAAUGGCUUGAGAAGGUUGCGAGUGACGGCGAUUAGACCUUUGCGGAGGCCAUCGAGGCCUGGGAGAGUCAAGAGAAGGACCAUGAUUGCCUCGGCGGCGGCAGCGUAACCAAGAACGACCCAUUCCAACGCCAUUGAUGAUAGAUCUGAAGGAGGAGUCGAUAGUCUGUGAGAUUGAUAAAUAGAUCUGUGUGUGUGAAAACUGGAAUGAAA